rnacentral:rRNA from 1 species
GGUUAAGCGACUAAGCGUACACGGUGGAUGCCCUGGCAGUCAGAGGCGAUGAAGGACGUGCUAAUCUGCGAUAAGCGUCGGUAAGGUGAUAUGAACCGUUAUAGCCGGCGAUUUCCGAAUGGGGAAACCCAGUGCAAUUCGUUGCACUAUCAUUACGUGAAUACAUAGCGUAAUGAAGCGAACCGGGGGAACUGAAACAUCUAAGUACCCCGAGGAAAAGAAAUCAACCGAGAUUCCCCCAGUAGCGGCGAGCGAACGGGGAGCAGCCCAGAGUCUGAAUCAGCUUGUGUGUUAGUGGAACGGUCUGGAAAGUCCGACGGUACAGGGUGAUAGUCCCGUACACCAAAAUGCACAGGUUGUGAACUCGAAGAGUAGGGCGGGACACGUGGUAUCCUGUCUGAAUAUGGGGGGACCAUCCUCCAAGGCUAAAUACUCCUGACUGACCGAUAGUGAACCAGUACCGUGAGGGAAAGGCGAAAAGAACCCCGGCGAGGGGAGUGAAAAAGAACCUGAAACCGUGUACGUACAAGCAGUGGGAGCCUCUUUAUGGGGUGACUGCGUACCUUUUGUAUAAUGGGUCAGCGACUUAUAUUCUGUAGCAAGGUUAACCGAAUAGGGGAGCCGAAGGGAAACCGAGUCUUAACUGGGCGUUAAGUUGCAGGGUAUAGACCCGAAACCCGGUGAUCUAGCCAUGGGCAGGUUGAAGGUUGGGUAACACUAACUGGAGGACCGAACCGACUAAUGUUGAAAAAUUAGCGGAUGACUUGUGGCUGGGGGUGAAAGGCCAAUCAAACCGGGAGAUAGCUGGUUCUCCCCGAAAGCUAUUUAGGUAGCGCCUCGUGAAUUCAUCUUCGGGGGUAGAGCACUGUUUCGGCUAGGGGGUCAUCCCGACUUACCAACCCGAUGCAAACUGCGAAUACCGAAGAAUGUUAUCACGGGAGACACACGGCGGGUGCUAACGUCCGUCGUGAAGAGGGAAACAACCCAGACCGCCAGCUAAGGUCCCAAAGUCAUGGUUAAGUGGGAAACGAUGUGGGAAGGCACAGACAGCCAGGAUGUUGGCUUAGAAGCAGCCAUCAUUUAAAGAAAGCGUAAUAGCUCACUGGUCGAGUCGGCCUGCGCGGAAGAUGUAACGGGGCUAAACCAUGCACCGAAGCUGCGGCAGCGACACUAUGUGUUGUUGGGUAGGGGAGCGUUCUGUAAGCCGUUGAAGGUGUGCUGUGAGGCAUGCUGGAGGUAUCAGAAGUGCGAAUGCUGACAUAAGUAACGAUAAUGCGGGUGAAAAACCCGCACGCCGGAAGACCAAGGGUUCCUGUCCAACGUUAAUCGGGGCAGGGUGAGUCGACCCCUAAGGCGAGGCCGAAAGGCGUAGUCGAUGGGAAACAGGUUAAUAUUCCUGUACUUGGUGUUACUGCGAAGGGGGGACGGAGAAGGCUAUGUUGGCCGGGCGACGGUUGUCCCGGUUUAAGCGUGUAGGUGUGUGUUCCAGGUAAAUCCGGAAUGCUUUAACACUGAGGCGUGAUGACGAGGCACCACGGUGCUGAAGUGACAAAUGCCCUGCUUCCAGGAAAAGCCUCUAAGCAUCAGGUAACACGAAAUCGUACCCCAAACCGACACAGGUGGUCAGGUAGAGAAUACCAAGGCGCUUGAGAGAACUCGGGUGAAGGAACUAGGCAAAAUGGUGCCGUAACUUCGGGAGAAGGCACGCUGAUAUGUAGGUGAAGUGAUUUACUCAUGGAGCUGAAAUCAGUCGAAGAUACCAGCUGGCUGCAACUGUUUAUUAAAAACACAGCACUGUGCAAACACGAAAGUGGACGUAUACGGUGUGACGCCUGCCCGGUGCCGGAAGGUUAAUUGAUGGGGUUAUCCGUAAGGAGAAGCUCUUGAUCGAAGCCCCGGUAAACGGCGGCCGUAACUAUAACGGUCCUAAGGUAGCGAAAUUCCUUGUCGGGUAAGUUCCGACCUGCACGAAUGGCGUAAUGAUGGCCAGGCUGUCUCCACCCGAGACUCAGUGAAAUUGAACUCGCUGUGAAGAUGCAGUGUACCCGCGGCAAGACGGAAAGACCCCGUGAACCUUUACUAUAGCUUGACACUGAACACUGGUCCUUGAUGUGUAGGAUAGGUGGGAGGCUUUGAAGUGUGGACGCCAGUCUGCAUGGAGCCGACCUUGAAAUACCACCCUUUAAUGGCUGGUGUUCUAACGUUGGCCCGUGAUCCGGGUUGCGGACAGUGUCUGGUGGGUAGUUUGACUGGGGCGGUCUCCUCCCAAAGAGUAACGGAGGAGCACGAAGGUUAGCUAAUCCUGGUCGGACAUCAGGAGGUUAGUGCAAAGGCAUAAGCUAGCUUGACUGCGAGAGUGACGGCUCGAGCAGGUGCGAAAGCAGGUCUUAGUGAUCCGGUGGUUCUGAAUGGAAGGGCCAUCGCUCAACGGAUAAAAGGUACUCCGGGGAUAACAGGCUGAUACCGCCCAAGAGUUCAUAUCGACGGCGGUGUUUGGCACCUCGAUGUCGGCUCAUCACAUCCUGGGGCUGAAGUAGGUCCCAAGGGUAUGGCUGUUCGCCAUUUAAAGUGGUACGCGAGCUGGGUUUAGAACGUCGUGAGACAGUUCGGUCCCUAUCUGCCGUGGGCGCUGGAGAAUUGAGGGGGGCUGCUCCUAGUACGAGAGGACCGGAGUGGACGCAUCACUGGUGUUCGGGUUGUCAUGCCAAUGGCACUGCCCGGUAGCUAAAUGCGGAAGAGAUAAGUGCUGAAAGCAUCUAAGCACGAAACUUGCCCCGAGAUGAGUUCUCCCUGACCCUUUAAGGGUCCUGAAGGAACGUUGAAGACGACGACGUUGAUAGGCCGGGUGUGUAAGCGCAGCGAUGCGUUGAGCUAACCGGUACUAAUGAACCGUGAGGCUUAACCUU